AAAACACAUUGUUAGAGCUUGGAGUUGAGGCCACACUGGUUGAUGAACUAAAGCUUAGGUAGUGUGUUACACGAGGGGAAAGCUUUUCUGCUAACAUCACAAGGGUCUUUGGCCCAAUGAGUGGUAUUUGAUAGUAAUUCUUGCUACAUAA